rnacentral:rRNA from 1 species
UACGGGGGGGGCAAGCGUUGUUCGGAAUUACUGGGCGUAAAGGGCUUGUAGGCGGCCAACUAAGUCAGACGUGAAAUCCCUCGGCUUAACCGGGGAACUGCGUCUGAUACUGGAGGGCUUGAGUAUGGGAGAGGGAUGUAGAAUUCCAGGUGUAGCGGUGAAAUGCGUAGAUAUCUGGAGGAAUACCGGUGGCGAAGGCGGCAUCCUGGACCAUUACUGACGCUGAGGCGCGAAAGCUAGGGGAGCAAACGGG